UGCACAGCGGGCUGGGAUGCUGCAGGGCGUCCCGGCGCACCGAAGCCUCCUCAGAGAUGAGGAGGAUGAUCCUGUUCUAGAGGGGCCAUUCCGGGACGAGGGGCUCAAUGUCAGAGCAGACAUCAUCAACCGCCACUUUAGACGGUGAUGCUCUGUGCAUUGGGUCCUGUAGCGAGUCUUUGCCGCCUGGUUUUUAAAGAGGACUUCAGCUGGGAGCUGACUUAAUCUAAAGACUGAAAGGGAAGAAUUAGAAGCCUGACAGUGAAGAUUGCCCAGACUGACAGUGGAAAAAGCCAAG